UACGUAGGGCGCAAGCGUUGUCCGGAAUUAUUGGGCGUAAAGAGCUCGUAGGCGGUUUGUCGCGUCUGCUGUGAAAACCUAAGGCUCAACCUUGGGCUUGCAGUGGGUACGGGCAGACUAGAGUGCGGUAGGGGUGACUGGAAUUCCUGGUGUAGCGGUGGAAUGCGCAGAUAUCAGGAAGAACACCGAUGGCGAAGGCAGUUCUCUGGGCCGUAACUGACGCUGAGGAGCGAAAGCGUGGGGAGCGAACAGG
rnacentral:rRNA from 1 species